rnacentral:lncRNA from 1 species
UUCCUGCAAAUUUUAUGAAUACCAAUAACAUUUAUCAAAAUAUAUGUUCAUUAAUAGAAAGCCUUAAGACUGUUGAACAUCAACAAAAUUGUGUAAAUGGCAUUUAUGAUGAUUUUUGUAAAACGGUUGAAUCAGAGAUGUCUGAUAAAAUACCAAGUAAGACUAUUUUUGUUGGUGGUAAGCAAUCAAAUAAAAAAUAUCGGAAUAGGAAACCCUGGUGGAAUGAAUCUUUGAGUAAAUUGUGGUAUGAGAUGUGUAAUGCUGAAAAAGCAUGGAAUAAAUGUAAUAACAUGCAACAAAAACAGCUAAAAGCUAUUUAUGUACAAAAGAAGAAACAUUUUGAUAGUGAGGUUCAAAAAAGUAAGAGGAAGUAUUGGUAUGACAUGCAGGAGCAAUUACUCUCUGAAUCUAGC